rnacentral:rRNA from 1 species
UUCGUAUUUACUAAGUGUAAAAUAUAUUUAGAUUUUUUAUUUAAUUUAAUUUAAAUAAAAAUAAAUAAUUUUUUUGUGUUUAAAACGUGAAGAAUAGCGAUAAAAUGCUUAUAUUGUUCAUAUAUUUUCAAAAAUUAAUUUUUUACACAAAAGAUUAUUUUAUAUUUAUAUAUUAAAGUAUAAGUAUCGAAUAGGAUUAGAGACCCUAGUAGUUUAUACUAUAAAAUAUGAUAAUUGAUUAAUAAAAUUAACGUGAAAUUAUCUACUUAGGGAGUAAUAUCGCAAGAUAUAAACUUAACAGAAUUGGCGGGAAUUUUUUUAACGGUGGAGUAUGUGGUUUAAUACGAUAAUCCACGUAGAAUCUUACCAAUUUAGCAUAUAAAUUAUAAAAGCAUAGUUGUUAAAAACAUGCUACAUUAUUUUUUUAUUAAUACUAUUAAGUAAAUUUAAUAUAAUUAAGUUUGUAUUAAAUUAAUUUAAAAAGGUUAAAAAAAAAAGAUGAGAAUUGUUUUGUAUAGUAAUAAUUUAUAAAUGGUAUUGCAUGGCUGUCGUCAAUUCGUGUUUUGAAAUGUAAAAUUAAGUUUUAAAAACGAAUGAAAUUUUUAUUAUAUUAUAAUAUAUAUAUAUAUAUAUAUAUAUAUAUAUGAUUUAAUGUAAUUAGUUAAAAUUUGAAGUCAAGUCAUUAUGGUCUAAAUAAAUUGGGCUACACACGUACUACAAUGGUAAAAACAAAAAGUAACAAAAAAGUAAUUUAAAGUAAAUCUUAAAAAAUUACCUUAGUUCGGUUUAUUUUUUGGAACUCAAAAAUAAUAAGGUGAAAUCGUUAGUAAUCAUAUUUUAGCAUAGUAUGGUGAAAUAAAAAUUAAAUUUUGCACACACUGCCCAUCACGUUCGAAAAAUUAAAAUUAUAUCUAUACUUGUAUUGUCUGACAAUUUAGAAAAAUUUAUUUUUUAAAAUGUCAAAAAAUUAUUUAUAGCUAAUGA